rnacentral:lncRNA from 1 species
GUAAUACAUCUCCGUAUGUUAUGAAGCCGUAAAGCGGGAAUGAAAGUUAGUCGCGUAAACUUAUAUUGCAAGAACGCGAACCCUAAGAAGUAAAGUUAAGUAAACCAAUGCGUAAGUCAAGUAUAUGACUAAUUGGUGUACGUGUUAUUUCCUUAUGUGUUAUAUACGGAUUUGGAAUGAGCAGUUCAACGUUAACUAUAAGUUGUAGCUGUGCAUAAGGCAAGUUUUCU